rnacentral:rRNA from 1 species
UACGUAGGGUGCAAGCGUUGUCCGGAAUUAUUGGGCGUAAAGAGCUCGUAGGCGGUCUGUCGCGUCUGCUGUGAAAACCCGGGGCUCAACCCCGGGCCUGCAGCCGAUACGGGCAGACUAGAGUUCGGCAGGGGAGACUGGAAUUCCUGGUGUAGCGGUGAAAUGCGCAGAUAUCAGGAGGAACACCGGUGGCGAAGGCGGGUCUCUGGGCCGUAACUGACGCUGAGGAGCGAAAGCGUGGGGAGCGAACAGG